rnacentral:lncRNA from 1 species
GGGGGUGGAUUGGGAUGGGGCGGGGGUCAGCCAGGCGGAGACCCCAGAGACGGGGCUGAUCUCCUAGGCGGGGGAUGCCCUCCUCAGAUGGCCCUGUCCUCCUCCCACGGUAUCCUUGGUAGCCUGGGGCCAACUGCUCUGUUGGGGCUGGUAGACACAGCCCCUCCCUGAGCCUGGGGCCUGGCUUGUGUGGUGCCCGCUUCUCAGCCUUGGUACCUACAGAACUCAUUCUCCAUGGCCGGGAGACCUCUCCCAGGAUGACGAGACACUGACUCCUAGCCACUUGCAGGGUUGACCCUCAGCAGAGACGGCUGUGUCCCCUUCCCUCCAGUGCCCCGCGGUCUCAACCCAGUUAACCGGAAUCUAGACGCCACGAGCUCUUGGCUACAGCACCCUUAACCCGUAUCCGUGGCAAGGCGUCUGGCCAGGCGCCCACCCUCUGCCCCUGGCCCUCCCGGCAGCCCUCGGCAUGUACCUUUGUUGCAGAGCUCACAGACAUGGUGAGGACCCUGGCUGUGCACCUUCAUGUGGUCCGAAAUAUAAGCCGAGCUCAGCAUCUUGCCACACA